rnacentral:rRNA from 1 species
UUCGGGGGUACCUGCAGUCGACGAUGAGCCCAGCUUGCUGGGUGGAUUAGUGGCGAACGGGUGAGUAACACGUGAGUAACCUGCCCUUGACUCUGGGAUAAGCGUUGGAAACGACGUCUAAUACCGGAUACGAGCUUCCACCGCAUGGUGAGUUGCUGGAAAGAAUUUUGGUCAAGGAUGGACUCGCGGCCUAUCAGCUUGUUGGUGAGGUAACGGCUCACCAAGGCGACGACGGGUAGCCGGCCUGAGAGGGUGACCGGCCACACUGGGACUGAGACACGGCCCAGACUCCUACGGGAGGCAGCAGUGGGGAAUAUUGCACAAUGGGCGAAAGCCUGAUGCAGCAACGCCGCGUGAGGGACGACGGCCUUCGGGUUGUAAACCUCUUUUAGCAGGGAAGAAGCGAAAGUGACGGUACCUGCAGAAAAAGCACCGGCUAACUACGUGCCAGCAGCCGCGGUAAUACGUAGGGUGCAAGCGUUGUCCGGAAUUAUUGGGCGUAAAGAGCUCGUAGGCGGUUUGUCGCGUCUGCUGUGAAAUCCCGAGGCUCAACCUCGGGUCUGCAGUGGGUACGGGCAGACUAGAGUGCGGUAGGGGAGAUUGGAAUUCCUGGUGUAGCGGUGGAAUGCGCAGAUAUCAGGAGGAACACCGAUGGCGAAGGCAGAUCUCUGGGCCGUUACUGACGCUGAGGAGCGAAAGGGUGGGGAGCAAACAGGCUUAGAUACCCUGGUAGUCCACCCCGUAAACGUUGGGCGCUAGAUGUGGGGACCAUUCCACGGUUUCCGUGUCGUAGCUAACGCAUUAAGCGCCCCGCCUGGGGAGUACGGCCGCAAGGCUAAAACUCAAAGGAAUUGACGGGGGCCCGCACAAGCGGCGGAGCAUGCGGAUUAAUUCGAUGCAACGCGAAGAACCUUACCAAGGCUUGACAUAUACGAGAACGGGCCAGAAAUGGUCAACUCUUUGGACACUCGUAAACAGGUGGUGCAUGGUUGUCGUCAGCUCGUGUCGUGAGAUGUUGGGUUAAGUCCCGCAACGAGCGCAACCCUCGUUCUAUGUUGCCAGCACGUAAUGGUGGGAACUCAUGGGAUACUGCCGGGGUCAACUCGGAGGAAGGUGGGGACGACGUCAAAUCAUCAUGCCCCUUAUGUCUUGGGCUUCACGCAUGCUACAAUGGCCAGUACAAAGGGCUGCAAUACCGUAAGGUGGAGCGAAUCCCAAAAAGCUGGUCCCAGUUCGGAUUGAGGUCUGCAACUCGACCUCAUGAAGUCGGAGUCGCUAGUAAUCGCAGAUCAGCAACGCUGCGGUGAAUACGUUCCCGGGCCUUGUACACACCGCCCGUCAAGUCAUGAAAGUCGGUAACACCCGAAGCCAGUGGCCUAACCGCAAGGAUGAGCGUCUAAGGGUUA